rnacentral:lncRNA from 1 species
GGAAGAAGAAGUUAAAAUGUCAUUCCGUUAUAUAUUCUAUAUUUACACGAAGAACGAAUAAAUUAUCCCACUACGGUUAAACUUAAGUAUUCAAUCAUUACCUGUCGCAUAUGCAAUUCAUUAUAAUCAACAGUAUAAAAUGGUUGAUGUUCGAUGGUUCAUCACAAUUGUUGAGGAUCUUUACUUGAUACACUUUGGUAAGUAAACAAAGCUUUCGUCCUUGCGUCGAAUGCUUGUAUUUUUUUCCUUGUAAAUAUUUCUUUAUUUCCAUCAGUUGCUUGUUACAUUGUCUUCAAGAAUUCCAAGCUCCCUGUAAAGAAUGAAACCAAUUUUCAAUUCUAUUAUAUUAAUAAAUAAAACAUCAACCUAAUAAAGGUUUCAUAACAUUAACUAAGAAUUUAACUUCUUUUAACUUCUUUGUAUACAUUAGUUUUGUAAAUUCUCUAAUGAAUAGACAAAAUAUAUCAAGGCGUUUCAUUUUCUAAUCAGAUUAAUAAAUUGAAAAUCCAAUAAUAGUAAUAAUAUAGUUAAAGCCAAAGUAAUAUUUAUUAGAUAUUUUAUAGCCAAAAACAAAAUCUUUAAUGUGAAAGCUUUUACUCUAUUUAUUGCUUGCAUUUCUUAUGUUUAUGUUUAUCAGUUUAUUUUUUAUCUAUGAGUUUGACUGUUCCUCUAGUAUGUUUCGCCCCUCUUUUAUAAAAGCAACCCAUGCCGUAUGAAAGGAACAUAUGUCGUAUGAAAGCAACCUAAUAGUAUAGAAUUGGCAGCUCCGUCUAUCCUAGUAAUGACUGAAAAAUCACAAGUUUUAAUAGUUUGAAAAAAUUAAUUAAGUAUAGAUAAUUGACAUGAGUAUAUUAACAAUCAAUUAUUCCUCCAUUAGUAUACAUAUACAUUAAAGAAAAGAAGAUGCGGUGGGAUUGCCAAUAAGACAACUCUUCACAAGAAACCAAUUGACAAAGAAAUUAACAACUAUAAGUCACUCUAUGAUCUUCAACAAUGAGUCAACCCCAUACCACAUUGUUAGCUAUAAAAGGCCCCGAAAUGACAGAAUGUAAAACCAUUCAAACAAGCAAACUAACAGUAUUGAUUUAAAUUUGAUAAAAUUUUACAAGCUACUAGCAUCUACUUCGAAAUAUAACUUUUCAUAGGCCACUUUCCAAUACUAGUAAUGGUAAAUAUAGAAGCUGGUUUUUUUUUAUCUACGAAAGUAUUAUUAUAAUGUUAAAAAAAGAUUAUUCAGAAAUUUGUUUUAUAUACUUUUUCUUAAGUUCAGAAGACAAGUUGUUCGUGUCUACUUAUAUGUCAUUAAAUUAAAUAGACAUACCCAUUUACCUCUUUGAAAUGGCAUACAAAAUCAUCUGUUAUACUUUUUUCAGAGCUACUACUUGAAUAGCUAUGACCAUUGCAAAGUGUGUGUUUUUAUUGUUGUUGGUGAUAUACAUGGCAGCCUUGGUCCAUUCCUGGGUGCCAAGGUAUAAUACUAAUAAUUUCUACAGGAGAAACAUGUGGAGAUACCGUAUGAUGUACAGGGGAGAUGAUUCUGAUGACUUCUUUGAUGACUAAACAAAUAACGGUAAAUAUCUUAGUCAUAUUGAUAUUCAUACACAUCGGAGUCAAUCUUCCUUUUUGAAAUGGACCAAAACGUAGAAGGUGGCUCAAACAAAAGUCAAUAAUUAAAUAAUGUAACUUUCUACUAGUUUUCAGCAACUGUCAAAAUAGAAAAUUAGAGUAAGGAAUGUUCACUUUAAUGCCUAACACAAUUUUGUGAGGUAGUCGAAAUUGACUUAAAAUGAUUGUAUUGACUUUUGAUGUUCAAAAAUAAGCAGAUCGGACAUAUUUUUAUGUUAUUGACUAGCUACUUAAGUUUGGGAUUAAUUGUAAUGACAAAAUUCCAAUGAGACUGAAAAAUGAAUAAUGUGUGAUAACAUUUUCUGAGGGAAUUUGAUGUAUGCUAUACCACUGUUCAUUUCAAAGCACUUUACGACCAUACCACUAUAUCAACCAGAAUGAAAUUUUUGCAGAGUUUUAAGAAAUCAUUUUAUUUUAAAAUCAUGUAUUAUUUGUGAAACAUUUAAUGUGUAAAAAGGACGAGUUGUCUGCAUAAAUUCAAUAUUUAAAUAGUUUUUUGAAGCUGCAAAAACAAUAUUUUAAAUUAGUGUAGAAGUAUUGUCAUAAAGUGCGAUGGAAUGAAGAGUGGUAUAGCAAACAUCGAAUUCACUCACAUAAUUCGACCACGCACUUGUUAUAGACUUAUUAUGGAUGCUUUUAUUAUUAAUUCCUUUAAUUUCCAAAUAAAGUUUGUUUUAUUAAGCCCUCGUUUCGUAAACAAAAAACUCACCAUGGACUCUCGAAAUAUUACGAAGUUUAAGUCAUACUCCCAUACACCCUUUGUUUCGACAUAAUUUUAAAAAUCAAAUAUCCACCAAAAAGACUUCAAUAUGAAUAUUUCGCAAUUUUGAAUUUGAGUGACCGAAGUCACAACUCUUACUGUUUUCUUUACGACUAUUGCAUUACUGUAAUCAUGUCACGCUUAUAACUAAACGAUACAGGAGCAUCACAUGAAAAAUAUUGGAACUGAAGCCAGUUGCAGUGUAAUCAGGUUUAUGACAAUUGUUUUCCAUUUGUUUGUUGAGUUUGAGCUUUUGAUUUUGCUAUUUGGUACAGGCAAUCUAAAUCAAUCACAUAUCUGUGUGCUACAUGUCCGUAUGUCAAAUAACAACCCUUUUUCAUGGUUCAGUUGCUAUUCCAGCAACUAAAUCUAACAACAAAUGAGGGUACAUUUUAAAAACGAAAGAGUGUUCAUACUACAAAGUUUAGACAUGUAUACACCGAAAUCAUUUUUACAAUUUCAAUAAAUCAGUGAUGUCCUUUGUUAUUAGAUUCAACCCUAAUUAACCUAUCAAUCAUUGUGAUCGAUUUUAACAAAACUGCGACGAUUUAUCAGUUACAUAAUAUUUUGGUUUAAAAACAGAGACAACUAAACAUCGAUCAUCAUGCAGAACAUAAUAAUGCUGUUUUAACCAAUAUAAAUCGUCAGUAAUCGUUCAUCUAGGCUUAGUGAAAGUUUUUCAUUUAUUUUAUUUUAAUUGUAUGUAUAAUGGAUGUGUUUUGAAUAUUUUCAGGUAUCAAAUAUACUGGCAUUAAUGGUGAUUCUAAGAACAAUCCCUCCACAGUUAUGCAUACACUUCUGAAUAAAGUGUAAAACAGACAUAUAUAUGAUUAUACUUAUUCAUCAAUCAUGUGAUAUUUUUUUUAUUUUUGAAAUUCAAUAAAGUUAUGUUAUGACCACACACUGUAUCACUUUGACAUUAAUAUAGAUGCAUAGCCUUUAAAUAUUAUUUAUCACAUUAUGGGGAUGUUCUGCAUUCACAAUUUAAUCUUAAUAUUUGAAAUUCUCUGAAACAAUAAAUAUUUCAUCUUCA